GGUUCUGGGCCUCCAAGGCCGUGGGUAAGUAGUUGAGGAGGCAGCUCUCUCCAGUCUGCGUUUAGAGUCUGCAGCUAAAAUGGAGUCUGCAUCUACACAGGGAGCCAGCUGAGCAACCAGCACUGUGGGAGAGCCAGGGAGACAGAGACGUAUCCAAGGGCUCCACAAAGACUCUAUACCACCCAUCCACUUCCAUUAAGAAGCAAAUGUCCCAUACCACCAACAAAUGAUUUCAUAAUACAAACCCCUGACCUAAACAAUACAAGCAAUGCGUCACUAUUUCUUGAAUCCUAGAAGGUGUAAUCAUCUCAGACGCUUUCUUGCACUGUAGAAGGUAAAGCAGGAUGUGAUGCAACAGUGACAUCGUCCAGGAUGCCACCACUCAGUGGGGGGAGAGAGCGCACCACAGGAGAU